AACGAACGCUGGCGGCAGGCUUAACACAUGCAAGUCGUGCGCCCCGCACCUUUCGCGGCUGCCGGGUUAGUAACGCGUUGGAACGUACCCUUAUCUUCUGGCCAGCUCCGGGAAACUGGAAUUAAUACCUAAUGUGCCCUUUGGGGGAAAGAUUUAUCGGAUAAGGAUCGGCCCGCGUUGGCUUAGCUAGGUGGUGGGGUAAAGGCCUACCAAGGCGACGAGCCAUAGCUUGUCUGAGAGGAUGAUCAGCCACAUUGGGACUGAGACACGUCCCAAACUCCUACGAGAGGCAGCAGUGGGGAAUAUUGGACAAUGGGCGCAAGCCUGAUCCAGCCAUGCCGCGUGAGUGAUGAAGGCCUUAGGGUUGUAAAGCUCUUUCACCGGAGAAGAUAAUGACGGUAUCCGGAGAAGAAGCCCCGGCUAACUUCGUG
rnacentral:rRNA from 1 species